UUCUCAGCGAUUCUUGGUGAGUUUAAUUUUGAUUUGUUUUGGUGAAAAACUGUGAUUUGUUUGGUUUUUAAUCUCAAUUAUAACCACAUUUUGUUGGUUAUUCAUCAGCUUAGUAGCUUCAAAAUCUCAUCUCGCUUUGCUUAUUUGCUUUCUUUGAUAGAAAGAAUCUUACAUUGUUCUAUGCCCAGCUAGUUUGCCUUAUUUGCAGAGAAUCUGCAGCAGACCAUCUUCUCCAAUUAUUCCAAGGCCUCUGCAUCACUACUUUCAACAAUUGGUAAUUGCAAUUCAAAUCCUCUUAGUAUUGUCGUUGCUAUUCUCCCCCGCAGUUCCCGCCAAGUCCCGUCGCUCAAUCUCUGAAAUAGGGUUAGGUUAGCAACUCAUGCAAAUUUCAAAGAUUUUGUCCUUACUGCUGGGUUGGAGUUCUUUCCUUUAGGUGGAGAUCCAAAAGUUCUUGCCGAAUAUAUGGUCAAGAAUAAAGGUUUCUUGCCAUCGGGACCUUCGGAAGUAUCUAUUUAGCGACAGCAAAUAAAAGAAAUAAUAUUUUCUUUACUUCCUGCGUGC